rnacentral:rRNA from 1 species
UACUCCUACGGGAGGCAGCAGUAGGGAAUCUUCCACAAUGGACGCAAGUCUGAUGGAGCAACGCCGCAUGAGUGAAGAAGGCUUUCGGGUCGUAAAACUCUGUUGUUGGAGAAGAAUGGUCGGCAGAGUAACUGUUGUCGGCGUGACGGUAUCCAACCAGAAAGCCACGGCUAACUACGUGCCAGCAGCCGCGGUAAUACGUAGGUGGCAAGCGUUAUCCGGAUUUAUUGGGCGUAAAGCGAGCGCAGGCGGUUUUUUAAGUCUGAUGUGAAAGCCCUCGGCUUAACCGAGGAAGUGCAUCGGAAACUGGGAAACUUGAGUGCAGAAGAGGACAGUGGAACUCCAUGUGUAGCGGUGAAAUGCGUAGAUAUAUGGAAGAACACCAGUGGCGAAGGCGGCUGUCUGGUCUGUAACUGACGCUGAGGCUCGAAAGCAUGGGUAGCGAACAGGAUUAGAUACCCUGGUAGUCCAUGCCGUAAACGAUGAAUGCUAGGUGUUGGAGGGUUUCCGCCCUUCAGUGCCGCAGCUAACGCAUUAAGCAUUCCGCCUGGGGAUUACGACCGCAAGGUUGAAACUCAAAGGAAUUGACGGA